AAAAGCAUCAAGGGCAUAAGGCCGGUGACGGCUCGGUUCUCAAGGUCGGCAAGGAGAAGGAGAUCGGAAAGCAGGGAUUGAAGAAGGAACUCCUCACUAUAUCCCAAGCUUGAGUACAUUACACCGGGACGGGACACAGUUCGAUUCGAGCGGCAAUAGGGGGACAUCGUUCAGUUCAGUCGGACAAGUUAAGAAGAAGGGAAAGAGAUGAAGAAGAAAGCUCUGGAAUGGAAGAGGUUGGCAAUGGAACCAGAUGCUUCUUUCUCCCAGAAAAAUAACUAGUAAAACUUUAAAAGAACAAAAUUGUUUGUCUUGUUAAUUGCUUUAGUUGCAUUUGGACUGUAUCAGCUAGUUCCUUCUUUAUAAUAAUCUAUUAAUUUCAAUGUAUUAUUUGCAAGUUUGAUUUGAAGUGAGAUAUGACUUGGUGAGAAUUGUUGUUCUUUACUAGCUUGUGCUCUGACUUGUUUGCCAUUGACAUUGCACAGAUAGGUCCUCUUGUGUUUAUCAACAACUAGCUUGUCGUGUUAUUUUGAGUACCAAAUUAUAAAGCAUAUUUUAAGAGCUAGAGAUUACAUCUUAUGACCAUGACUAUCUCAAUAUUAUAACUCUUCAACUAGCUUGUCAUGUUACUUCUGCAUGCUUUUCAAUUAAUACAGCUCCCCUGGUACUUGCUAGCAUCUAUCCCAUCAUUUGUUUGUUAUGUUCUUUUGUGUUCUGUUCAUGACAUUAUUAUCUUUCUGUACAUGCAGGUUAAGCAGAGCCCUUGCUUUAAGUUGUAUAGUUUUGACCUCUCUUCCAUCUGUUUUAGGUUUUCUUCCCCUCUAGUUAAUAGUAUGAGAUUUUUCGUAUGUUCUGAAUUUCUGAUUGAUCUUUGCAGCUUUUAAACUUUUUCUGAUUUAACUCUUGGCUGCUCUAACCAUAGCUUCCUCUUUCAUGGUUUUAGUUGGUUUACAUUGUAGGUUCUGUUACAUGAACUCGAUGGAAAGCUUACUGGUAUUGUAAACUUAACUCAUUGACUUGAGAAGAGUUUUUCUUAUGAGGAUGUCAAGGCAGCCAUAAGUUAUUGUUUGGCAUUUUGGUGUGUUUAUUAGUAUAUGUGUCUCAUAAACUUGAUAUUUUUUGGAGUUGUAUAUUGCUUUUGUGUAUUAUACAUAGGAUCUUAAGCUUUAGGAUAUCGUGGGGAUCAUAUGGAGGUUAGUAUCUUAAUUCUAAGCUUUUCUCAUUGGGGUACAGAUCAGAUAUUUAACUGCUGGCUAUUUGUUUCAGAGACUGCCUAUUGGUUGAUCCUAAAGAGCUUGCAGACCCAUCUUUUAACUCCCAACAACAGAGGGAAAGGUGAUCUUUUAACAUUAGCUUACAAUUGUGAAUACCAAUUUGAUUCAAAAACCUCAUUUAAAUUACUUUUGUGACAAAACUGAAUUAGGACCUGAUCGACUACAUAAAUUAAAAACUGAAUUAGUGUACUCUUGGACUUUGAAGAAUGUUGUAUGCCCCUUGUUCUUCUCAUCCCCUUGAUUCUAACUUGUAGAACAUAAAUUAC